CAAAGAGCAGAUUAUGCAAAACACACGGGAAAUAUAUGGCACUGGUGAACAAAUAGGGUCAUUUUAAUUAUUAAUUUGUAUUAUAUAGCAAGUAUUUUAUUAAAGGCAAAGAAAGAGCCUGUUUUACUAAUUGGAUUUAGUGUGGAUUUAUUAGAGAACCAUGGUAAUUGUAAAUAUUGUUAAUUUUGUUAUAGGGACAUUGUGGUGUUGGUUCCAUUGGACUACAGUCGGGUUAGGAUACAUGCAUUCCACUAGUGGAUUAGGCAAUAAAUUGUUCUACUCCCCUGCCACUGUUUUAAGAAUGAGGUGUUAUCUAUAUUGACAAAAAAAAUAAACAAAUCUUUUUAGGGUUACUGCAAGCACCACAACCACUUCAGUGAUCUGAAUUGGUAAUGGUGUCAGGAGUCUGUAUGUGUAAAAACGCCCUGUGGUCUGGUCAUUUGCCACAAACUCCUAGAGGAGCCUGCUAGCCAGCCUCCUGCUCCAGGAUUAUGGGCCAUACAAAAUACCCUGUCAACUACUCUGUUUGUGUGAUUUGGGGCUAUGUUGUUCGGGAACCGAACAACCGCACGGACCAGAGACCGCCCGGGAGCUUGUUAAGCCCAAUUGACACUGUAUUCCAGGGUAGAACUGUUGUAGAAUUAUUAGGCCUCUAUAAAUUUGUAAGGCCCCUUUAAAUCCUCUUGCUAUACCUCUAAGAGGCCCCCAUAGUUUUACAAGGAAGCUUUGUCUAUAGAACAUAGAAUUUGCAUGUCAGCAAGAAAUAGCUUUGAUAAAAUGUGUAUUUACUAAAAUCCUUGAAACUUAACCUUGAGAAACUAACAAGUGCCAG